UAGUAAAUUUUUAGUCAACUUGAUACGUGUAAAUCAGCCUUUAGUUACCCUUUACCGUAGUAUAACUACCUUCAUAAAUCAGAACGUUGGAAUUUUUGGAACCUUAUUCUUGUACACUCUUGAGGUUUCUUGAAUUACAAACUAGAUUCGAUAGGUACUUACAAUGAAAAAGUCUAGCAUUCAAAAGUUAGAAGAACUUUUGGAUAGUGAUGAUGAUAUCCCUUUUUCAUAUAAUGAGGCAAUUGAGCAGCCAAAAUAUAAAAACGACAAUCGAUUUGAACCAGUUACAUUUGGUGCCGACAACUGCAGAGCACAGUGGAACAAUAAUUAUUGUUUCAUAAAUGGAGAUCAACCAGAGUUUUCAAAAAGCAGUGAGGCCUCCUCAGUGACCUCCAAUAUUAAUAAUAUAUUACCAAAAGGCUUUUCGAGCAAACAAGACAUAUAUUGCCUAAACAGUAUAGCAGACAAAACCACUAGUUCCACUUUUUUUCAAGUUGAACCAGUUACAUCUGAUACCAACAACAGAAUAGAGUGGAAUAAUAAGUAUUGUUUCAUAAAUGGAGAUGAACCAGAGUUUUCAACAUGCAGUGAUGCCUCCUCAGUGACCUCCAAUAUUAAUGAAAAGGACAAUGGACAAGCGUACAGAUCACCUGGUGCAGGUCCUGAUGCAGAAUAGAUGACAUUUGGUCCCAUAAAAGUUUUACACAGUUUGGCCCAGUACUUUUAAUUUUAUGUAAAUUUUUGUCUACAUUGAUGAUGGAAUUGUUUUUUGUGUUCGGCUUUUUUAAGAGAUUUCAUUUCGGUUGAUUAUAUAUUUUUAUUAUUAAUUGACAUAAGUUCAAAAACUGAAAAAUAUCAAAUAACUAAAAAUUUAAUUUAAUACACCUCUUUUACAAACCUUUACCUUUAAUAUUAAUAAAAUACCAUUAUUUGUAUGUCCUACAUAUUAGGUACUAUACUACUUCUUAUGUAACAUCUUACUUUUGAAUUAAGAAUAAAGUUAAGAUUAAAUAUUUAAGAACUAACAGUGAA